AAUUUUUUGAGACAGGGCCUCUCUAAGUCUUUCAGCGGCUCCCGCUGGACAUCCUGGUUUCUGCUGUUGUUUUGUUUUGGGAGGUUUUUUUGUUUGCUUGUUUUUUGUCUUUUUGAUACUGCUUUAACCUGAAGGUUUGGAUCUGCUCUUCCAGGACGGUCUCUGCCUAAGUAAUCCUGCGAUCAUUUCGGUUCCGCCUUUUCUGUCUUGUCCUUGUCUCAGGAACGCCUGUUGCUCGGGUGGUGAGUCUUCCUGUCUCCUUUUACACUGUCAGCUGAUGUUGCAAAGGCCCCUUGGCCCUGUGCGACCCGGAUGUCUGGUUAGGGUCCCGGCAAUUCCAGGAUGCAGAAAAGACCGAAGACCGCACAAUUUCACUGUCACGUUCUUCUGUUUCUCUUCAUAUCCUCACCGAGAGAAAACUCAGGCAAGAUCAGCCUUCGCCUCAGUGGCCUUGGUGGCAUCGAUCGCCUUCACCAGCGCAUAUGGGGUCACCCAGCCCCUGGGGACAAACGGCAGAGAAAGCAGAGUUGUCCACUUUCCUGCUCGCCUCCCUGAGCCGGGCCCUGGUCUUCUCCCACGCUUGGCGGCCCUGGUGCUCAGACCUUCCAAGGUGGGCUGGAUUCACACUGCUCGCUUUCCUGGGGCUCUGGCCAUGGGCGUUCUCGGCCUCCUAACACCGCCCUCUCCCUCUGUCUCCCCCGCUCCCUCCCUCUCCCUCUUUCUCUCUGUCUCUCUCUCUCUCUCUCACACACACACACACACACACACACACACACACACACGCACGCACACUGUACCCUCUCUGCCUGUUGGCUACACAUCCAUGGAUUCAACAAACCAUCCAAAGAUUGAUUUUUCUUUUUUGGUUUUUUGGUUCCUGGAAUCGAACCCAGGACCUUGCACUUGCCAGGCAGGCGCUUCUAAGGGUCGAAUAGUAGAAAAUAUGACAUCACUGUGA
rnacentral:lncRNA from 1 species